GAUGAAAACGUAGUGAAAUGCGAUAAUUAAUGUGAAUUGCAGAAUUCAGUGAAUCAUCGAGUCUUUGAACGCACAUUGCGCCCCCUGGUAUUCCGGGGGGCAUGCCUGUCCGAGCGUCAUUGCUGCCCUCAAGCACGGCUUGUGUGUUGGGCUUCCGUCCCUGGCAACGGGGACGGGCCCAAAAGGCAGUGGCGGCACCAUGUCUGGUCCUCGAGCGUAUGGGGCUUUGUCACCCGCUCCCGUAGGUCCAGCUGGCAGCUAGCCUCGCAACCAAUCUUUUUAACCAGGUUGACCUCGGAUCAGGUAGGGAUACCCGCUGAACUUAAGCAUAUCAAUAAGCGGAGGA
rnacentral:misc_RNA from 1 species